AGGAUGAACGCUGGCGGCGUGCUUAAUACAUGCAAGUCGAACGGACGUAGCAAUACGUUAGUGGCGACCGGGUGCGUAACACGUAGCUGACCUGCCCCUCAGCGGGGGACAACAGUUCGAAAGGACUGCUAAUACCGCAUACAUUCUCCACGUUUAGAAGGUGGAGAAGAAACUUACGGGGCUGAGGGAGGGAGCUGCGGCCCAUCAGGUAGUUGGUGAGGUAACGGCUCACCAAGCCGACGACGGGUAGGGGGCCUGAGAGGGUGGUCCCCCACACUGGAACUGACAAACGGUCCAGACUCCUACGGGAGGCAGCAGUAAGGGAUAUUGCGCAAUGGGCGAAAGCCUGACGCAGCAACGCCGCGUGGAGGAAGAAGGCCUUCGGGUCGUAAACUCCUUUUGACGCUGACGAGGAAGGACGGUAGGCGUCGAAGAAGUCACGGCUAACUACGCGCCAGCAGCCGC
rnacentral:rRNA from 1 species